rnacentral:rRNA from 1 species
CACGUAGUUAGCCGAGGCUUCUUAGUCAGGUACCGUCAUUAUCUUCCCUGCUGAUAGAGCUUUACAUACCGAAAUACUUCUUCACUCACGCGGCGUCGCUGCAUCAGGGUUUCCCCCAUUGUGCAAUAUUCCCCACUGCUGCCUCCCGUAGGAGUCUGGGCCGUGUCUCAGUCCCAAUGUGGCCGUUCACUCUCUCAAGCCGGCUACUGAUCGUCGCCUUGGUAGGCCGUUACCCCACCAACAAGCUAAUCAGACGCGGGUCCAUCUCACAGCGAUAAAUCUUUGAAAGGAUCGUCAUGCGGCAAUCCCUUGUUAUGCGGUAUUAGCAGCCGUUUCCGGCUGUUGUCCCCCUCUGUGAGGCAGGUUACCCACGCGUUACUCACCCGUCCGCCACUCAGUCAUUACCAUCUUCCCUCCGAAAAGUUCCGUCGGUAGCGCUUCGUCGACUUGCAUGUGUUAAGCACGCCGCCAGCGUUCAUCCUGAGCCAGG